GAUGAACGCUGGCGGCGUGCUUAACACAUGCAAGUCGAACGGAAAGGCUCCUGCUGCUAGGUGUUCUCGAGUGGCAAACGUGUGUGUAACACGUGUGUUAUGUCCUCUACACUUCGGUAUGCGCCUGGGAAAGGGGGUCUAAUCCCGUAUAGGACACCAUCUUGGGGGGGUUGGUGGAAAGCUUUUGGGUGUGGGAUGGGUGCGGGGCCUAUCAGCGUGUUGGUGGGGUAAUGGGCUACCAAGGCCGCGGACGGUAGCCGGCCUGGGAGGGGGGACGGCCACACUGGGACUGAGAGACGGCCCAGACUCCUACGGGAGGCAGCAGUGGGGAAUAUUGCACAAUGGGCGCAAGCCUGAUGCAGCGACGCCGCGUGGGGGAUGACGGCCUUCGGGUUGUAAACCGCUUUCGCUAGGGACGAAGCGGUAGUGACGGUACCUGGAGAAGAAGCACCGGCUAACUACGUG
rnacentral:rRNA from 1 species